rnacentral:rRNA from 1 species
UCGAGAAUCUUCGGCAAUGGACGCAAGUCCGACCGAGCGACGCCGCGUGCGGGACGACGGCCUUCGGGUUGUAAACCGCUGUCAGGGGGGAUGAAGUCGCGUGGGGUUCUCCCCGCGUGUUGACAGAGCCCCAGAGGAAGCACGGGCUAAGUUCGUGCCAGCAGCCGCGGUAACACGAACUGUGCGAACGUUGUUCGGAAUCACUGGGCUUAAAGGGUGCGUAGGCGGUUCGUCAAGUCGGAUGUGAAAUCCCCCGGCUCAACCGGGGAACUGCGUUCGAAACUGACGGACUCGAGUGAGGUAGGGGCGUGCGGAACCUCCGGUGGAGCGGUGAAAUGUGUUGAGAUCGGAGGGAACGCCGGUGGCGAAAGCGGCACGCUGGGCCUCAACUGACGCUGAGGCACGAAAGCCAGGGUAGCGAACGGGAUUAGAUACCCCCGUAGUCC